AGAUGUGAUGUUUGAUCUGGCUAAGAUAUCUGUCACCCCACUGAUCGACAGGGUUGAUUUGGGUGAUCUGGCUGGCUAGGCAGGUGUCCCUUUCCACCAUCACCUCUCUAUGUGUGUCCCUCCCGAAGCUGCGCUUGGUCAAAGAGGACAGCCUUCCCGGAAUAGAGAAGGACCGGUCUUAGGUCAAGGGUAUAGAGUAGCUGCACUUUACUGCUAGAACCUCCAAACAAGCUCUCAAGGUCAAAGGUAAGUUAGUUAAAAUAUACCUUACUGUGAUUAUUGAAAUGUAAUUAAUGUUAUUUUUA
ensembl:misc_RNA 7SK 7SK RNA